rnacentral:rRNA from 1 species
UGGUACUGCAUGGGGGACCGUGUGGGAGAGUAGGUCACCGCCGAAC